GCCACCAAUAAGUUUUGAGCCUCAUCGCACAACUGGCAGGUCUGUGGAGCAACUGCCACCACAAAUGGAAGGUCCUUCUGCGAGGGCUAUUUUCCACUAUGAGGAAGGUGGAAUUAUACUUGGAACUACUUCACCACCUGUUGGGCCAUCACAUACUACACAGCCUGGUCCUUCUCAACUU